UACGGAGGAUGCAAGCGUUAUCCGGAAUGAUUGGGCGUAAAGCGUCCGCAGGUGGUUGUGUGUGUCUAGUGUCAAAGCAUCAUGCUUAACAUGAUAAAGGCAGUAGAAACUACACGACUAGAGUGCGUUCGGGGCAGAGGGAAUUCCUGGUGUAGCGGUGAAAUGCGUAGAGCUCAGGAAGAACACCGGUGGCGAAAGCGCUCUGCUAGGCCGCAACUGACACUGAGGGACGAAAGCUAGGGGUGCGAAUGGG
rnacentral:rRNA from 1 species